GAUGAACGCUGACAGCAUGCUUAACACAUCAGCCAUUGAUUGGUGGCGGACGGGUGAGUACCGCGUAAAGAACUUGCCUCACAGCUAGGGACCACAUUUGGAAACGAAUGCUAAUACCUAAUACUGUGAGAGAGCUGUGCGUCCCAUUAGCUAGUUGGAUAGGUAACGGCUCACCAAGGCGAUGAUGGGUAGCCGGCCUGAGAGGGUGAUAGGCCAAAAGGUGACUGAGUCACGGCCCUUACUCAUACGGGAGGCAUCAGUGUGGAAUAUGGGAAAGUGGACCAAAGUCUGAUCCAGCAAUUCUGGGUGCAAGAUGAAGUUUUCGGAAUGUAAAGUGCUUUCAGUAGGGAAGCGGUACCAACAGAAGAAGUGACGGCUAAAUACGUGCCAGCAGCCGCGGUAAUAC
rnacentral:rRNA from 1 species